rnacentral:tRNA from 1 species
CAAAGAAUAGUUUAGUUUAGAAUACUGGCUUUGGGAGUCAGUGGUGGUGGUUAAAAUCCUCCUUCUUUGA